rnacentral:sRNA from 1 species
AAUAUUUUUUAUCUUUGUUUUCCGGUGGAAAUAAAAUGCCCAUGAAAUAAGAGAAAAAAAAAGAAGAAGAAGUAUAAUAAUUGCCUAACGUGACGUCUAACGAAAACAGAACUCAGCACGAAAGAUUCUAGUUCAUAUGUGGCUAAAGGAAAACAUGUGAAAUAUGAAUAAUGAGAAGGAAGUCUCAAAGGUCCAAUACUCUGAUGCUAUGUUUUGUUGUAGACAAAUAAAACGUAUAACGUUGAGGUACGUAAACGUAUACCAAAAAAGAAGUCAUUUAUCUUGUGCGUGUAAUAAUACCUUUGAUAAUGAGAUGUCCCAUUUUUUCUUCUUCUUUUUCUUUUAAGAAAUACACAUUUAUUAGCUAGACUAUCUACCACUGAAAAUUAAUAUAUAUUUACCAAUUUUUAAAGUGUUAUACAACAAAUGUUUAACGUGUAAAUCUACGAAAUGGUCAUUGACA